UUGGGAAGUAAAAAGUCGUAACAAGGUUUCCGUAGGUGAACCUGCGGAAGGAUCAUUAUCGAGUUCUGAAACGGGUUGUAGCUGGCCUUACGGGGCAUGUGCACACUCGGCUCAUCCACUCUACCCCUGUGCACUCUUUGUAGGUUGGCCUCUGAGCCCUUUGGGUUUGGGGGUCUUCCUAUGUCACUCACAAACUCUUAAAGUAAAAGAAUGUCAUCUGCGAUAAUACGCAUCAUAUACAACUUUUAGCAACGGAUCUCUUGGCUCUCGCAUCGAUGAAGAACGCAGCGAAAUGCGAUAAGUAAUGUGAAUUGCAGAAUUCAGUGAAUCAUCGAAUCUUUGAACGCACCUUGCGCUCCUUGGUAUUCCGAGGAGCAUGCCUGUUUGAGUGUCGUGGAAUUCUCAACCCACUUGUCCUUGUGGCAAUUGUGGGCUUGGACUUGGAGGUCUAUGCUGGCUCAUUAUUGGGUCGGCUCCUCUUGAAUGCAUUAGCUUGAUUCCCUGCGGAUCGGCUCUCGGUGUGAUAAUUGUCUACGCCGUGACCGUGAAGCGUUUGGCAAGCUUCCAACCGUCCUGAUGGGACAACAUUAUAUCUUUUGACCUCAAAUCAGGUAGGACUACCCGCUGAACUUAAGCAUAUCAAUAAGCGGAGGAAUG
rnacentral:rRNA from 1 species